GAGGAAGUUUGCACCCCGAGGGAGCUAGA
rnacentral:piRNA from 1 species